GCGCCCAGUGGAGGGGCGAGAGUGGCGGACGGUGCGGGCCGCGGCCCGUGACAGGUGGAAGGUGGCCCGUGAUUGGUGUUGGUGGCCGUUUUGGUGACAGUGCUUUGGACCGACUAAACUUGUUUAGUGACCAUCAGAGGGCAGUCAGUGGAUGACUGUUACAGAAGGUUCGUGCUAUAUCUGCCUCAUAUCAGAAGCGUGUCUAUUCCGACUACCGCCUUCGAUUCUGCCGGCGCUGGUGGCCGCAGUCCCAGUUUUGGUGGCCUUCCAGCGCUGGUCCUCGACCAACACACGAACCAGUGCGCCUCGUCUGGCGACUCCUCGUUCAAGGCUGUCUGCAUAGUUCAGCGCUGGUCCUCGAUCAUUACACGAACCAGUGCGGCUGAUCACCGUUCGGCGGUUCGUCGCUCAAGGCUGAACUGCAGCCGGCUCUCCGCAUAACUCGGCUGCAGCCACGCCUGGGUGUAAACAGACUUGUUAAAGAUCAACGAGUGCAGCUGGGCGUCUGCAGCGGCCAACGAGAACCUAAUAUUUUCAGCACGAACACCCUCACCGGGCCCCGAUUUCCGUUUGGAAUCCAACUAUUGUAAACAUCUGUUAAUGAACGUUUAGGAUCAUCGAAAGGCUCUGACGGAGCCAGGAGCCAACAGGGGAGGAGGCGCUUGACAUGGAUGAAGCAGCUGAGCCGUCCGGCGGCGGCCAGGCCAGGGGUUCUGGGGGUGACCGGGCGGCUACCGUGCCCGAUCACCGGGAUCAGGGGGCGACUCAGCCCCCCUCCGAACCACAGCGCCCGGCCAGACGGAAGAGAGCAGCCCCGCCACCGCCCCAGGCGCCAGUGGAGGUCUAUGAUGGCGCGGCCGGCGGGAGGCUCCGGCAGUCAGGGGAAGCAUACGGAGCCGGGGACGGCCGCCGCACGCCGGCAGAGCGGUACUGGGAGGCAGGAGGCCCUCCCCGCGGGCGGCGGGUGUCCACCAGCUCCGUGGCCAGCUCCACCAGCUCCGUGACUCGUGGCACGACUACCUCAGACAGCCAGUCAUUGGACAGGAGGCUGUCGACGUCGUCCUAUGAGGCCGCCGAGAGGAGGACGUCACUCGAGACGGAGGGAGGGGUGUCGGAUGGCACCACCGGACACCGCGGGCGCCAACCAGCGGCCCCGCCGACCCGGAAACGACGCGCCCCGGCCCCGCCCGCGGCGCGGACGGGGCGGGGCGUCAGCGCGGCCCCGCCCCCCGCCGAGGCCGACCCCGUCCCACGGGAACAGAGACCGGGCGCUGCCGCUGCGCACGGCCGCCGGGGGGCC